UACGCCCUCCAUUCCAGAGUCUCCCGCUCCGGCCGGGGCACGCCCAGAGCGCGGCGGGCAGCGUGGUCGGCGCGCGGGUCUCAGGCCGGGCCGCGCAGCCUCCGGGCGCCCCGGGCGCAGGGACGGGAGGCGGGGCGGCCGGGGGCGGAGCGGCAGCCGAGGCCCUGAGCCGGGCCCCCGCUCGCCCUCCGCCGCCGGCUGGCGCGGCCAUGGAGGUCUACAUCCCGUCCUUUCGCUACGAGGAGAGUGAUCUGGAGCGGGGAUACACGGUGUUUAAGAUAGAAGUGCUAAUGAAUGGAAGAAAACAUUUUGUUGAAAAAAGGUACAGCGAAUUUCAUGCCUUGCACAAAAAGCUUAAAAAAUGUAUAAAAACUCCAGAAAUCCCUUCUAAACAUGUUAGAAACUGGGUCCCAAAAGUCUUGGAACAACGACGACAAGGUUUGGAAACAUAUUUACAGUCUGUCAUUUUAGAAAAUGAAGAACUUCCCAAACUGUUUCUUGAUUUCCUCAAUGUGCGACAGUUGCCCUCUCUACCAAAGGCAGAAAGUUGUGGAUCUUUUGAUGAGACAGAAUCUGAAGAGUCAAGCAAACUGUCCCACCAGCCAGUUCUGCUGUUCCUCAGGGAUCCAUACAUCUUGCCUGCAGCCAGCGCAUCCAGCAUACGCUCAGCUCUUGGAGGAUGAUGAACACAAGGCCUCAGUACUUGCUGUGUCCCCCAUCGGGAGUGCCCUGCUCCCAGAUUUUCCAAAUGUUGUUAUUGAAGGAGUUCUCCAUGGGAUAUUUUACCCUCAUCUACUGCCCAGGUAGAAAUCCUACGUGGCUAAAGGAAGCUGAAGCACGCUUCAAAGUCGUAGGAAAUCAAUAUCUACCAAAUUAACCUAAACUCUAUGACAUAACAGCUCUAGCUAGUGGUAAAAUUCACCAUCCUAGCUUUAUUCGGGGCAGGGAUCUUUCCAUUAGAAUGGUGCUUUUAAAAAUAGAAACUGAACCAGGGUUGUGGUCAGGUUAAUGCCAAGUGUUUUAAGAAACAGAAUGCAGCUGCCAACUUCGAAACCCAUGAAGAGAUGGCCGCAGUGGAUUCCUAGAAGCACUGAGUGUAACAGAACCAAGUUACUCUCUGCUUCAGGCGCACCAUUUGCUAAUUGAAAAUCAUAUCCUGAAUCAAACUGAGACUGAUCGACUUUGAUAGCUUUUUUCUUCAAAUCUUAUAAUACACUACUUGUCUCCAUGAGAUUUUCUCAGCCAGUGAUGUUACAUUUUGAAGUGCUGGCACCAGGAGAGUGUCACAGAAAUCCACCAUGCUAAAUGUGAGGAAGGACCUAAACUGGAAAUUAAAUUAUACUGACAAUGGGAUGGUAUUUUAAUUUACAUUACAGUGGAGUUGCAUCAUAUCCAAGGGUUAGCUUCUAACAUCAGCAGAUAAGAUAAAAUGGGAUAUUAGGAUAAUCCUUGAAAGCCCUUUAUAAAGUCACAAUAUUGGAAAUCUCGACAUUAACCACAACCAGUUUUUCCUCCAGUGUGGGAAGAAAUGAGUGUUUCUUCAUUUGACAAGCAAAUUAAGCUGCUGGUGUGUGUUUGGGGGCCAUUUUGUAUAAAAAGCACAUAUCCGUAAACACUAGAAACACACGUAGCCCUGUGAGAUACUUGCCCUGUAAGAGGAAGAUGUGAAUUGACAAUGACUAAAGGAGCUGCAGAUGAACAACGCCCUUUGGGUUUGCGUAAAGGCGUGCGUGCAUUGAAUAGGUGGUAUUGCUGCAGGAUUUUUCAUAUCACUGUCCUUAUGGGUUCCUUUUCACUGACCUCAUUACUGAGUUAAUGUAAGUUAGAUGUGUGUAUGAUAUAACUCCACUGUAUAUCAUAUAGACAGUCAUAUUUUGAGUAGUAAAGUAUAAAAGCAUAUAUGCUACCUGUACAUAUGUGCUGUAUGUGGACAUUUCAUUGAAAACUAAUUAAAAGCUAGCCUAUUUAUGGUUAUUAGUUUUAAUAAGAUUCUGUGUGGAAGAAAAAUAUUUAAAAUCCCAACUAAUAACUAUAUCAUGGUUUUUGAUUAGGAUCUAAAUAUGCAGGGUUAAAGCCUGCUGCAAACUUUUAAAGAUAUGUUUUAUGAUAGAUUAUGUUACUACAUGUUAGAAACAAGCAAGAACUAAAUAAUCAAGUGUCAUAAACCAAAAUUAACUGAAUAGGCAAGUAUUGGAGUUAUUUUUUAAAUGUUUUUGUGU